rnacentral:rRNA from 1 species
AUUGAACGCUGGCGGCAUGCUUUACACAUGCAAGUCGAACGGCAGCGCGGGCUUCGGCCUGGGGCGGGUGGGGAAAGGGGGGGGAAAUGCACCGGACCUUGCCCGGUGUUGGGGGAAGGCCGGGCGAAACCGGAUUUAUUCUUGCUUCGGACUUGAGGUGGAAGCGGGGGGACCGAAAGGCUUCGCCUUUUUGGGGGGGCCGAUGUGGGUUUACCAAGUUGGUGGGGUAAAGGCUUACCAAGGCGGCGUUCCGUAGCUGGUCUGAGAGGCCGACCAGCCACACUGGGACUGAGACACGGCCCAGACUCCUACGGGAGGCAGCAGUGGGGAAUUUUGGACAAUGGGGGCAACCCUGAUCCAGCCAUGCCGCGUGCGGGAAGAAGGCCUUCGGGUUGUAAACCGCUUUUGUUCGGGAAGAAAUCCUCUGGGCUAAUACCCCGGGGGGAUGACGGUACCGGAAGAAUAAGCACCGGCUAACUACGUG